GGCCCAAAGGAAGGCCACCGCAGGCGUAGGCUCAAAGGAGAGCUACAGUAAAAUCUUAAAUUUUCUUCGCUGCUGUAGUGCCACGGCCACUUUCCAUCGCAAUCGCACAGUAAGAGGCUACUUCCCAUCGCACCGAGGGCUGCUUCCCAUCGCACCAGGGGCGAGCCAGCGAGGUCGUCUCCGGCCGGGGUUACAAGGAGUACCGCGGCUACGGGCUACUGCAGCCGGGGAACCAGACCCUCGAUCAGUUCACUGUUCAUCAAAGACAUCUCUUACCGCCUCUGUUCGCCGACUCGCCGUUCCCAAAUCCCACAUUCCCACUUCGGCAGCAGGCAGUCCGGGCCUGUCCGGCGUCUUCUCGUCUGGGUCGCAGGAGCCAGAAGCCUUCCGCCAAAAUCACAUCUCCAAUCUCUUACCCAAGUCCUCGGCCGCUCCCAAUCCUAUCCGCUGAUCCGCAGUCGUUUCUAGUUAGGCCUGAGAACAAGACAAAUCCACCGAAGUCGAGGCCACUCGUCCCCGGACCUUAUUUCCACUCGCAAGGAUCUUUUGACUGGAUGCUUGCUUGAACAGGAAUAUAAACCCCAGAGUAUUUUUAAAAGGAAUUGCAGAGACCUUGGUUGCUUCGAAAAGUUUCAUGUCUUUUUUUCUGUGGGAGAGUUUAGAGCCUGAAACCAGAACGGAACAUUCUCGACUUUUGUUAUUACUUUGUUCGGUAAUACAAAUAAAUUUUGGAAUAGGAAGUACCUAGUCUAACUUAUAUGUUGCUCUUACUUUCUCAAGCUUAUCUUGAUGAAUUAGUCGAUGGUGAACUUUAAAAGAAAUGAGGUUUGUUCUGUCA